GGACCCGUGGCUCAGUUGGUAGAGCGUCUCAUUUACACUGAGAAGGUCAAAGGUUCGAAUCCUUUCGGGUCCA
rnacentral:tRNA from 1 species